UGGAAGCUUUAUGGUGCAACCCCUUCUUCCC
rnacentral:piRNA from 1 species